rnacentral:rRNA from 1 species
UACGAGGGGUGCAAGCGUUGCUCGGAAUUAUUGGGCGUAAAGGGUAGGUAGGUGGUCUCAUUUGUCUGGGGUGAAAUCCUUGGGCUUAACCUAAGAAGUGCCCCAGAAACGGUGAGACUAGAGUACUGGAGAGGGUCGUGGAAUUCCCGGUGUAGCGGUGGAAUGCGUAGAGAUCGGGAGGAACACCAGAGGCGAAGGCGGCGACCUGGACAGUAACUGACACUCAACUACGAAAGCGUGGGGAGCAAACAGG